UACGUAGGGUGCAAGCGUUAAUCGGAAUACUGGGCGUAAAGCGUGCGCAGGCGGUUUUGUAAGUCUGUCGUGAAAUCCCCGGGCUCAACCUGGGAAUUGCGAUGGAGACUGCAAGGCUAGAAUCUGGCAGAGGGGGGUAGAAUUCCACGUGUAGCAGUGAAAUGCGUAGAGAUGUGGAGGAACACCGAUGGCGAAGGCAGCCCCCUGGGUCAAGACUGACGCUCAUGCAC
rnacentral:rRNA from 1 species